UAAACGGCCCUUUUCAGGACCACAGAAAACUUUUCUUUGAGAGUUAU
rfam:Aedes albopictus isolate Foshan contig39697, whole genome shotgun sequence.